ensembl:lncRNA
AGUGGGCUAGGGGUCGGGCUAGAUAUGGUGCUCGAUAUGGGGCUUAAGCUGGGGCUAGAUGUGGGGCUAGAGGUGGGGCUAGACGUGGGGCUAGAGGUGGGCUAGAGGUGGGGCUAGAGAUGGGCUAGAGGUGAGGCUGGAGAUGGAGAUGGGGCUAGAGAUGGGACUAGAGGUGGGGCUAUAGAUGGGCUAGAGCUGGGGCUAGAGCUGUGGCUAGAUGUGGGGCUAGAACUGUGGCUAGAUGUGGGGCUAGAACUAGGGCUAGAGAUGGGGCUAGAGAUGGGCUAGAGCUGGGGCUAGAGCUGGGGCUAGAGGUGGGGCUACAGAUGGGCUAGAGGUGGGGCUAGAUAUGGGGCUAGAGCUGUGGCUAGAUGUGGGGCUAGAACUGUGGCUAGAUGUGGGGCUAGAACUAGGGCUAGAGCUGGGGCUAGAGAUGGGCUAGAGCUGGGGCUAGAGGUGGGGCUACAGAUGGGCUAGAGGUGGGGCUAGAGAUGGGGCUAGAGGUGAGCCUAGAGGUGGGCCUAGAGGUGGGCCUAGAGAUGGGGCUAGAGAUGGGGGCUAGAGAUGGGGCUAGAGGUGGGGCAAGAUGUGGGGCUAGAGCUGUGGCUAGAG